rnacentral:rRNA from 1 species
GACGAACGCUGGCGGCGUGCUUAACACAUGCAAGUCGAACGGAAAGGCCGCUAUCGGGGGGUACUCCAGUGGCGGACGGGUGGGUGACACGUGAGUAACCUGCCCUCGACUUUGGGGUAGCGUCAGGAAAAUGGGGCUAUUCCCGGAUAGGGGCUCCUGCUGCAGGGUGGGGGUUGGAAAGCUUCGGAGGUUGGGGGUGGACUCGCGGCGUAUCAGCUUGUGGGUGGGGUCGUGGCUUAGCAAGGCUUUGACGGGUAGCCGGCCUGCGAGGGUGAGCGGCCACACUGGGACUGAGAGACGGCCCAGACUGCUACGGGAGGGAGCAGGGGGGAAUACUGCACAAUGGGUGGAAGCCUGAGGCAGCAAGGCCGUGUGCGGGAUAACGGCCUUGUGGUGGUAGACCGCCUUCGCGCAUGACGAAGCCUUGUGUGACGGUAGUGGAUAAAGAAGCACCGGCUAACUACGUG